rnacentral:lncRNA from 1 species
AGCAAGUUAUCGUUGAGGUAAAAAUUAUUCACUUAACUUUUCUAUUUUUUACAUUCUAUCUUUAAUCUAUCAUAACUUACUCAUAGUAUCUUGUAAUUACAUGAUUUUUAUGUCAUUGGAAAGAUAAAAAAAUUAUCUAUCUAAAAAUAUAUAUUUUUACUUUUUACUUUUACUUUUUACUUGGUAAAAAUCCAAUGAACGGACUGUGACUUCGUUUUGGAUGUUGUGAUUACUUGAUUUCAACUCUUUUACUUGUAUUGUGGUUGUUCCUCCUAGGUCUUUUGCCAAUUGCUUACUUCACUUUAUAAGCAACUCUUAAUUGAGGCCAUCU